rnacentral:tRNA from 1 species
GCCUGGGUGGCUCAGUCAGUUGAGCGUCUGACUUCGGCUCAGGUCACGAUCUCGCGGUUCGUGGGUUCGAGCCCCGCGUCGGGCU